rnacentral:lncRNA from 1 species
GUUGCUUCUAUCUACCAAAUUUCAUGGUGAUCCAAGAUAUGACAUCCAAGAUGUGUAUUCUCAAAGCAAGGUGACUUGACCUGCCUAGGAAGCAAACCUCUUUCUUUUUAAAAAUUCACUUAAAAUCAGAUAAUAAUUUAAAAUUGACAAGUAUAAUUUUUCCUAAAACCGAACUUAGUAGAAUUUCUUUUCCAACAAAUUUCAGUACAAAAAUGUAAGUAAGUACUAAGAUAAAGUUUUUCAAAGCUAGUUAUUCAAUACUACCAAGGCAAUAGAUCUUUUCACAUUUAAAAAU